UACGUAGGGUGCGAGCGUUACUCGGAAUUAUUGGGCGUAAAGCGCGCGCAGGCGGUCCUUUAAGUCUGAUGUGAAAGCCCACGGCUCAACCGUGGAGGGUCAUUGGAAACUGGGGGACUUGAGUACAGAAGAGAAGAGUGGAAUUCCACGUGUAGCGGUGAAAUGCGUAGAGAUGUGGAGGAACACCAGUGGCGAAGGCGACUCUUUGGUCUGUAACUGACGCUGAGGCGCGAAAGCGUGGGGAGCAAACAGG
rnacentral:rRNA from 1 species